rnacentral:rRNA from 1 species
GCCUAAUACAUGCAAGUCGAGCGAAUGACGAGAAGCUUGCUUCUCUGAUUUAGCGGCGGACGGGUGAGUAACACGUGGGCAACCUGCCCUACAGAUCGGGAUAACUCAGGGAAACCUGGGCUAAUACCGGAUAAUCCUUCGAAUCACAUGUUUUGAAGUUGAAAGGCGCUUCGGCGUCACUGUAGGAUGGGCCCGCGGUGCAUUAGCUAGUUGGUGGGGUAACGGCCUACCAAGGCAACGAUGCAUAGCCGACCUGAGAGGGUGAUCGGCCACAUUGGGACUGAGACACGGCCCAAACUCCUACGGGAGGCAGCAGUAGGGAAUCUUCCACAAUGGACGAAAGUCUGAUGGAGCAACGCCGCGUGAGUGAUGAAGGUUUUCGGAUCGUAAAACUCUGUUGUAAGGGAAGAACAAGUACGUUAGGAAAUGAACGUACCUUGACGGUACCUUAUUAGAAAGCCACGGCUAACUACGUGCCAGCAGCC